rnacentral:rRNA from 1 species
CCCUUAGAUGUUCUGGGCCGCACGCGUGCUACACUGAGUGGAUCAGCGGGUCAGGUUGCGCGAAAGUGUUUCCUAAUCUUGAAAUCCGCUCGUGAUGGGGAUUGACGGUUGCAAUUUUCCGUCAUGAACGAGGAAUACCUUGUAAGCGCGGGUCAUCAUCCCGCGCUGAAUACGUCCCUGCCCUUUGUACACACCGCCCGUCGCUCCUACCGAUUGAGUGGUCCGGUGAGGCUUUGGGAUCUGAGCGGAAAGAGCGUUUCGCUGUUUCUGCUCGGAAAACUCAGUCGAACCAUAUCAUUUAGAGGAAGGAGAAGUCGUAACA